rnacentral:rRNA from 1 species
GAUGAACGCUGGCGGCGUGCCUAAUACAUGCCAGUCGAGCGAACAGACGAGGAGCUUGCUCCUCUGACGUUAGCGGCGGACGGGUGAGUAACACGUGGAUCACCUACCUAUAAGACUGGGAUAACUUCGUGAAACCGGAGCUAAUACCGGAUAAUAUAUUGAACCGCAUGGUUCAAUAGUGAAAGACGGUUUUGCUGUCACUUAUAGAUGGAUCCGCGCCGCAUUAGCUAGUUGGUAAGGUAACGGCUUACCAAGGCGACGAUGCGUAGCCGGCCUGAGAGGGUGAUCGGCCACACUGGAACUGAGACACGGUCCAGACUCCUACGGGAGGCAGCAGUAGGGAAUCUUCCGCAAUGGGCGAAAGCCUGACGGAGCAACGCCGCGUGAGUGAUGAAGGUCUUCGGAUCGUAAAACUCUGUUAUUAGGGAAGAACAAAUGUGUAAGUAACUAUGCACGUCUUGACGGUACCUAAUCAGAAAGCCACGGCUAACUACGUG